CGAGGUGUAGCGCAGUUGGUAGCGCGCAUGGUUUGGGACCAUGAUGUCGCAGGUUCGAGUCCUGUCACCUCGACCA
rnacentral:tRNA from 4 species